UUAUUCCAUUCUGUAGCGAAAGAUCAUCUCUGCAUAUGGCAUUCGCGCAUUUACAAAGAGCACUCUCUUUCGUGCACAACGAUAACACACUCGCCCCAGCACUCCCGUUCAGAUACAAUCGUUUCCACACACAUUUACGCUCUCGCGCACUGCCUUGCCGAAAUUUUGUUAAUAAGUACAUGCAUAUGUACAUGUGUAAUGGAAACGUGACCACCACAUUGUGCAGAGAACGAUCAAGACUCCCACACCAAAACAUACAUAUGUAUGUAUGUAGGUGCCUGUUCAGAUGUGGGUACAAGUAAAUAAGCACUCGUUCACUCACAGGCAUAGGCCUAUUUGGAACGGCUUGAAAUGUGGAAAAAAAUGAACAUAAAAAGAUUUAAAAGCAAGAAAAUGAUAAAAAAACGAGCUGGCUACAUAAACAGAUAAAAAGGCAGACAAAAAAUAAAUUUGUAUAGAGGAAAAAACUUGUUUAUCUUACUGUCAUUUCGUAUGUACAAAAUAAUGAUAUAUGGGUAUAUAUAGCAUGUAUGAGCAUAUACAAUAUGUGUGCAUUUCUGUACAGCUACAUGCAAGUAAAAUUGACUGUGUUGAAUAAAUAGGCCUCUGAUGGCUCUUCUGUUGCUCCAGCACUUGCGCCCAUGUCGGCUUGUUUAUGUAUCUAUUUGCAUGGAUCUUUUUUAAUUUAAAAGUUUACUUUUCAUUUGUUUUUUAACCCUCCCCAAUCACCCCUCUUCUCACAUUAUUUAGUUUGCUUUUCUGAUUUUUUCAGUUUGCUGUUGUCUGUUUUUUCAUCGGUUAUUUGCUUGUUUUUUGUAUUUGUUUGCUUUUCUACUUUUAGGUCUCUUAUAGGCCUUUCAAGGUGUAUGGUACCGUUUAUCUUUCUUGUUAUUUAGUGUUUUUUCUUCUAUUUGUGUUUUCGUGCUCCAUACAUUAUGAUUUUUGUAUUUCUUUUUUAAAGAGUUUAUUUUUUUUUUUUUAACUUUUUUCUCUUACUUGCUUACUUUGUUUGUUUCACAGCUGGUUUGACUGGUUUCCUCAACCUCUUCGAGUGUUUUCUUCGUCACCCGAUUACAAACAAACCAACACACACAUAGGUACGUGCAUGUGUGUAUGUAUAACACGAAUGUAUUAUAAGAUGCUCAAAAAAGCAUCAUGCAAGCAAACAGACAUCAAAGGUUCAUAUAAAUACUACUUCCCCACCACUUUCCCCCGGUAGCUUGACGAUCAGUCAACUGAUCUUUUGGCUUCUCUACUUUGUUUGCUGUGUCUUACUCAGCGCUUUGUAUUUUUUGUUGGUUUGUCGCUUUACAUACAUACAUACGUAUACGCAAACUACAAACAUUCGUACAUACACACACACAUAAGUGGUUCGAUACCGGCCUGCCUCACUCACUCGUUCACUCAGCGGCUACUGUAUUACCCACAACCGGCUCUUCAGUAAGUAAAAACUGCCUAUAAACAUACUUAUUUACAUAUCGAAAUAAAAGUACCGCGUAGGACACACAAAACAAGAAAAAAUCACAUAACACUUCUCAUUUAUGAAGCAGUAGACUACGGUGUGUCGGGUGCAGAGCUGCUAUGGUGAAGUCCUUGC